rnacentral:lncRNA from 1 species
CAGUGGCCGUGCUGCAGGGGAUGAAGUGGCUCUCGGUGGCCCAGUGCCAGCAUGGUGCGUCCUGGCCCCAAGACCUUGCCCACGCGGGUGACUCAGUCUCCGGUGAGCAGCUCUGGUGGGUAACAAAUGACUCAGUUCCUAAGGCC